rnacentral:rRNA from 1 species
ACAGCUAAGGUCCCAAAUUCACUGCUAAGUGGAAAACGAUGUGGAAAGGCAUAGACAGCCAGGAGGUUGGCUUAGAAGCAGCCACCCUUUAAAGAAAGCGUAAUAGCUCACUGGUCGAGUCGGUCUGCGCGGAAGAUUUAACGGGGCUAAGCAGUGAACCGAAGCUUGGGGUGCAUAAAACUUGUUUUAUGCGCGGUAGAGGAGCGUUCCGUAAGCCUGCGAAGGUGGAUUGAGAAGUCUGCUGGAGGUAUCGGAAGUGCGAAUGCUGACAUGAGUAACGAUAAUGCGGGUGAAAAGCCCGCACGCCGAAAGCCCAAGGUUUCCUUGCGCAACGUUAAUCGACGCAGGGUUAGUCGGUCCCUAAGGCGAGGGCGAAAGCCGUAGUCGAUGGGAAGCAGGUUAAUAUUCCUGCACCUCGCGUGAGUGCGAUGGAGGGACGGAGAAGGUUAGGUGUACCGGGCGUUGGUUGUCCCGGGGAAAGGCGGUAGGUUUGGAUCUUUGGCAAAUCCGGGAUCCUUUAAGACCGAGCACCGAGACGAGCCUUUAUGGCGAAGUCACUGAUACCACGCUUCCAGGAAAAGCUCCUAAGCUUCAGCUCACGAAGACCGUACCGUAAACCGACACAGGUGGGUAGGAUGAGAAUUCUCAGGCGCUUGAGAGAACUCGGGUGAAGGAACUAGGCAACAUGGCACCGUAACUUCGGGAGAAGGUGCACCCUUUUUGGUGGCUCGUGCGAGCUAUAGCUGAAGAGGGUCGCAGAAACCAGGCCGCUGCGACUGUUUAUCAAAAACACAGCACUCUGCAAACACGAAAGUGGACGUAUAGGGUGUGACGCCUGCCCGGUGCUGGAAGGUUAAUUGAUGGGGUCAGCCGCAAGGCGAAGCUCUUGAUCGAAGCCCCAGUAAACGGCGGCCGUAACUAUAACGGUCCUAAGGUAGCGAAAUUCCUUGUCGGGUAAGUUCCGACCUGCACGAAUGGCGUAACGACAGCGGCGCUGUCUCCACCCGAGACUCAGUGAAAUUGAAAUCGCUGUGAAGAUGCAGCGUUCCCGUGGCAAGACGGAAAGACCCCGUGAACCUUUACUAUAGCUUUACACUGAACGUUGAGUUCGUCUGUGUAGGAUAGGUGGGAGGCUAUGAAACUGUGGCGCUAGCUGCAGUGGAGCCAUCCUUGAAAUACCACCCUGUCGUGCUUGACGUUCUAACCUAGGUCCGUUAUCCGGAUCAGGGACCGUGUAUGGUGGGUAGUUUGACUGGGGCGGUCUCCUCCUAAAGAGUAACGGAGGAGCACGAAGGUACGCUCAGCGCGGUCGGACAUCGCGCACUGUGUGCAAAGGCAUAAGCGUGCUUGACUGCAAGAUCGACGGAUCAAGCAGGUACGAAAGUAGGUCUUAGUGAUCCGGUGGUUCUGUAUGGAAGGGCCAUCGCUCAACGGAUAAAAGGUACUCCGGGGAUAACAGGCUGAUACCGCCCAAGAGUUCAUAUCGACGGCGGUGUUUGGCACCUCGAUGUCGGCUCAUCACAUCCUGGGGCUGUAGUCGGUCCCAAGGGUAUGGCUGUUCGCCAUUUAAAGUGGUACGCGAGCUGGGUUCAGAACGUCGUGAGACAGUUCGGUCCCUAUCUGCCAUGGGCGUUGGAAGUUUGAGAGGGGCUGCUCCUAGUACGAGAGGACCGGAGUGGACGAACCUCUGGUGUUCCGGUUGUCACGCCAGUGGCAUUGCCGGGUAGCUAUGUUCGGAAGCGAUAACCGCUGAAAGCAUCUAAGCGGGAAGCGCGCCUCAAGAUGAGACUUCCCGGGGCACAAGCCCCCUAAAGGAACCAUGUAGACUACGUGGUUGAUAGGUCAGGUGUGUAAGUACAGCAAUGUAUUGAGCUAACUGAUACUAAUGAUCCGUGCGGCUUGACCAUAUAACCUCA